rnacentral:rRNA from 1 species
UACGAAGGGGGCUAGCGUUGUUCGGAAUUACUGGGCGUAAAGCGCACGUAGGCGGAUUGCUAAGUCAGGGGUGAAAUCCCGGGGCUCAACCUCGGAACUGCCUUUGAUACUGACAAUCUCGAGUCCGGAAGAGGUGGGUGGAAUUCCUAGUGUAGAGGUGAAAUUCGUAGAUAUUAGGAAGAACACCAGUGGCGAAGGCGGCCCACUGGUCCGGUACUGACGCUGAGGUGCGAAAGCGUGGGGAUCAAACAGG